rnacentral:rRNA from 1 species
AUUGAACGCUGGCGGCAGGCCUAACCCAUGCAAGUCGAGCGGAGCGGCGGACGGGUGCGUAAUGCCUAGGAAUCUGCCUGGUAGUGGGGGAUCACGUCCGCAAACGGGCGCUAAUACCGCCUACUCUCUGCUACGCCUAGGUCGGAUUAGCUAGUUGGUGGGGUAACGGCCUACCAAGGCGACGAUCCUGAACUGGUCUGAGAGGAUGAUCAGUCACACUGGAACUGAGACACGGUCCAUACUCCUACGGGAGGCAGCAGUGGGGAAUAUUGGACAAUGGUCGAAAGCCUGAUCCAGCCAUGCCGCGUGUGUGAAGAAGGUCUUCGGAUUGUAAAGCACUUUAAGUUGGGAGGCGUUACCAACAGAAGAAGCACCGGCUAACUUCGUGCCAGCAGCCGCGGUAAUUC